rnacentral:misc_RNA from 1 species
GAAAUGCGAUAAGUAGUGUGAAUUGCAGAAUUCAGUGAAUCAUCGAAUCUUUGAACGCACAUUGCGCCCCUUGGUAUUCCAUGGGGCAUGCCUGUUCGAGCGUCAUUUGUACCUUCAAGCUUUGCUUGGUGUUGGGUGUUUGUCUCGCCUCUGUGUGCAGACUCGCCUCAAAACAAUUGGCAGCCGGCGUAUUGAUUUCGGAGCGCAGUACAUCUCGCGCUUUGCACUCAUAACGACGACGUCCAAAAGUACAUUUUUACACUCUUGACCUCGGAUCAGGUAGGGAUACCCGCUGAACUUAAGC